UGCCAACCUUCCAUUGGAUGUGCAGUGGAAUGAUUUGGAUUACGCAGACAAGCGAAGGAUUUUCACUUUUGAUCCCUGUUGAUUUGGUGACCUCCCAGAGAUGGUGGAAGAAUUCCAUAGGCGAGGCAUGAAGUACAUCCUUAUUCUGGACCCAGGGAUCAGUAGCACUAGCCCCACUGGAACUUACCCUCCCUUUGAUGAUGGCCUGAAACGAGACGUCUUCAUUAAAAAUGUCACAGGACACAUUUUGAUCGG